rnacentral:rRNA from 1 species
AUGAACGCUAGCUACAGGCUUAACACCUGCCAGUCGAGGGGCAGCAUGAACUUAGCUUGCUAAGUUUGAUGGCGACCGGCGCACGGGUGAGUAACACGUAUCCAACCUGCCGAUGACUCGGGGAUAGCCUUUCGAAAGAAAGAUUAAUACCCGAUGGCAUAGUUCUUCCGCAUGGUAGAACUAUUAAAGAAUUUCGGUCAUCGAUGGGGAUGCGUUCCAUUAGGUUGUUGGCGGGGUAACGGCCCACCAAGCCUUCGAUGGAUAGGGGUUCUGAGAGGAAGGUCCCCCACAUUGGAACUGAGACACGGUCCAAACUCCUACGGGAGGCAGCAGUGAGGAAUAUUGGUCAAUGGACGAGAGUCUGAACCAGCCAAGUAGCGUGAAGGAAGACUGCCCUAUGGGUUGUAAACUUCUUUUAUACGGGAAUAAAGUGAGGCACGGGUGCCUUUUUGUAUGUACCGGAUGAAUAAGGAUCGGCUAACUCCGUG